rnacentral:tRNA from 1 species
GCGGAGUAGCUCAAUGGUAGAGCCAAGGGUUUGCAAGCCCCAUUGUCGCUGGUUCGAGUCCAGCCUCCGCCC